AGCCGACAAGAAAAUUUGGCGGGAGGGGCAGGCAGUGAGAGGGGGGGAGAGAGAGAGGAACAGUCAAAGUUUGGGGAGUCCUCGUGAUUCGUGCAAAUCCUAGAACCCUCCUUUAAGCCCACAGAAUACACCACUGAACACACCAACACUCACUCACUCACUCACUCACUCACUCACUCACUCGUAUAUAUGCAUUGCACACACUUUCGUCCGUCCAGUCUGAAGACUCUGGAGAGAGAAUACUUUAGAGAGAGAGAGAGAGAGAGAGAGAGAGAGAGAGAGGGGCAUCAAAUCAAGGAAAACAAAAAGAAGCAAUGCUGCGACUUGCUGUUGCUGGAGCAGGUCCAACCCAAUAUCCUUCUGAUGGGUCUUGUUCCUCGUACCCAAGGCACGUCUCGUCGGAAAUUUGUUUCCACUCCUCAACAAGAGGGAGGAGCAGUGAUGCUUGCUUGAUGGACUUUGCACCGUUCAAGUUUCAUGCAAGAGUGAACUCACCGUUCUGCAUAUUGCUGCUGGAGUACAUUAACUGAUAAGCAGUGUGUGGAGUAGGGAAUGAAGCUAUUGGUCCGUUGAGCAUUUCAAAAAUGUUACAACUUGAUGAUAUCUCUUGUGCAAGAAUUCACAGAUCUUGACAUAUAGGCUGAUUCUGUAACUGUAUCUGCUAAGCUUAAUCUAAUUCAUUGCGAAGAAAUCUUUAAUUUAAUUUUCCCAUUCAGCGUUGUCUUUUGCUUUAAGUUGGAAUAUACCAUCCUGUUCUUUUCA